UUUUUUCAAAAUUCCUUGUCAAUUUUGUGUCAUUUAAUCCGAAAUUUUUUUUGAACAUGAUUCGAAUCGUGUGACAUUUGAUUCGAAUCAUGCUUUGUCUGAUCCAAACCAACUGGCAUCUUUUUCAAAAAUUUGCCAUUUCUUUCAUUCCACCUCAAUUUGAUCAUAUGAUUUAAUUCAUAUUUUUCUUGAUUCGAAUUUAACUAACUUUUUCAACCAUUUUGUAUGCUUUAUCUCAAACACAUAUAAAACCUUUUUG
rnacentral:lncRNA from 1 species